GAAAAACCAGAAAAGAAAUGGGAAAAAACAACUUUGAGCGG
rnacentral:rRNA from 1 species